rnacentral:rRNA from 1 species
GAGUUUGAUCGUGGCUCAGGACGAACGCUGGCGGCAUGCCUAAUACAUGCAAGUCGAACGAGGUUUCCUUAAUGAUAGUUGGUGCUUGCAUCAACUUGACUUAAGAUCUAACCGAGUGGCGAACUGGUGAGUAACACGUGGGGAACCUGCCCUUAAGUAGGGGAUAACAUUUGGAAACAAAUGCUAAUACCGUAUAACAACAUAAACCACAUGGUUUAUGUUUGAAAGAUGGCUCUGCUAUCGCUUUUGGAUGGACCCGCGGCGUAUUAGCUAGUUGGUGAGAUAAUGGCUCACCAAGGCGAUGAUACGUAGCCGACCUGAGAGGGUAAUCGGCCACAUUGGAACUGAGACACGGUCCAAACUCCUACGGGAGGCAGCAGUGGGGAAUAUUGCACAAUGGGGGAAACCCGUAUGCAGCGACGCCGCGUGAGUGAAGAAGUAUUUCGGUACGUAAAGCUCUAUCAGCAGGGAAGAAAGAAAGUACC